rnacentral:misc_RNA from 1 species
AAAAUAAGUCUCAUUUUCCUCUAGAUAUUUUCUCUCCAAAUAAGUGAAAAAAUAAGAAAUCAAAAGAAAAAAAUUAGACUUAUACCUGAGAAAUUAUAUAUCUACUCUUUAUUUUUAGUGUCAACUUUUUCUUUCCCUACAGUAGUUUUUACUCAUCCGAACACAAGGAGGGAAAAUAAAGAAUAAAAAAUAAAAAAAUAUUUUCCUUCUUUUAUU